rnacentral:tRNA from 1 species
GCUGGAAUAGCUCAGCGGUAGAGCAGCAGUUUUGUAAACUGACGGUCGGUGGUUCAAUCCCAUCUUCCAGCA